rnacentral:rRNA from 1 species
AGUGAACGCUGGCGGUAGGCCUAACACAUGCAAGUCGAACGGCAGCACAGUAAGAGCUUGCUCUUACGGGUGGCGAGUGGCGGACGGGUGAGGAAUACAUCGGAAUCUACUUUUUCGUGGGGGAUAACGUAGGGAAACUUACGCUAAUACCGCAUACGACCUACGGGUGAAAGCAGGGGAUCUUCGGACCUUGCGCGAUUGAAUGAGCCGAUGUCGGAUUAGCUAGUUGGCGGGGUAAAGGCCCACCAAGGCGACGAUCCGUAGCUGGUCUGAGAGGAUGAUCAGCCACACUGGAACUGAGACACGGUCCAGACUCCUACGGGAGGCAGCAGUGGGGAAUAUUGGACAAAGGGCGCAAGCCUGAUCCAGCCAUAUCGCGUGGGUGAAGAAGGCCUUCGGGUUGUAAAGCCCUUUUGUUGGGAAAGAAAAGCAGCAGGUUAAUACCCCGCUGUUCUGACGGUACCCAAAGAAUAAGCACCGGCUAACUUCGUG